AUUGAACGCUGGCGGCAGGCCUAACACAUGCAAGUCGAGCGAGAGGCGGACGGGUGAGUAAUGUAUGGGGAAUGCGCGAUAGAGGGGGGGAACUACUGGAAACGCGAGAUAAUACCGCAUACUAUCGGAUAACCCAUAUGGGAUUAGCUAGUAGGUGGGGUAAUGGCUCUCCUAGGCGACGAGCCCUAGCUGGUCUGCAAGGAUGAUCAGCCACACUGGGACUGAGACACGGCCCAGACUCCUACGGAGGCAGCAGUGGGGAAUAUUGCACAAUGGGCGCAAGCCUGAUGCAGCCAUGCCGCGGGUAUGAAGAAGGCCCUAGGGUUGUAAAGUACUUUCAGUCGGGAGGCGUUACCGACAGAAGAAGCACCGGCUAACUCCGUGCCAGCAGCCGCGGUAAUAC
rnacentral:rRNA from 1 species